rnacentral:rRNA from 1 species
UUGCCUACGGGAGGCAGCAGUGAGGAAUAUUGGUCAAUGGGCGCAAGCCUGAACCAGCCAAGUCGAGUAGGGGAUGACGGUCCUAUGGAUUGUAAACCUCUUUUGUCGGGGAGCAAGGCCCGCCACGUGUGGCGGGAAGGAGAGUACCCGAAGAAAAAGCAUCGGCUAACUCCGUGCCCGCAGCCGCGGUAAUACGGAGGAUGCGAGCGUUAUCCGGAUUUAUUGGGUUUAAAGGGUGCGUAGGCGGAAGGUUAAGUCAGCGGUCAAAUGUCGGUGCUCAACACCGGUCUGCCGUUGAAACUGGG